rnacentral:tRNA from 1 species
UCUCUGGUGUCCUUGUGGUAAAGAAUCUGUCUGCAAUACAGGAGACCCAGGUUUGAUCCCUGGGUUGGGAA